GGGGGAUAUUGCACAAUGGGGGAAACCCUGAUGCAGCGACGCCGCGUGGAGGAAGAAGGUUUUCGGAUUGUAAACUCCUGUCGUUAGGGACGAUAAUGACGGUACCUAACAAGAAAGCACCGGCUAACUACGUGCCAGCAGCCGCGGUAAAACGUAGGGUGCAAGCGUUGUCCGGAAUUACUGGGUGUAAAGGGAGCGCAGGCGGGAAGACAAGUUGGAAGUGAAAACCAUGGGCUCAACCCAUGAAUUGCUUUCAAAACUGUUUUUCUUGAGUAGUGCAGAGGUAGAUGGAAUUCCCGGUGUAGCGGUGGAAUGCGUAGAUAUCGGGAGGAACACCAGUGGCGAAGGCGGUCUACUGGGCAUCAACUGACGCUGAGGCUCGAAAGCAUGGGUAGCAAACAGGAUUAGAUACCCUGGUAGUCCAUGCCGUAAACGAUGAUUACUAGGUGUUGGGGGAUUGACCCCCUCAGUGCCGCAGUUAACACAAUAAGUAAUCCACCUGGGGAGUACGACCGCAAGGUUGAAACUCAAAGGAAUUGACGGGGGCCCGCACAAGCAGUGGAGUAUGUGGUUUAAUUCGAAGCAACGCGAAGAACCUUACCAGGUCUUGACAUCCGAUGCAUAGCACAGAGAUGUGUGAAAUCCUUCGGGACAUCGAGACAGGUGGUGCAUGGUUGUCGUCAGCUCGUGUCGUGAGAUGUUGGGUUAAGUCCCGCAACGAGCGCAACCCUUAUUGCCAGUUACUACGUUAAGAGGACUCUGGCGAGACUGCCGUUGACAAAACGGAGGAAGGUGGGGAUGACGUCAAAUCAUCAUGCCCUUUAUGACCUGGGCUACACACGUACUACAAUGGCGUUAAACAAAGAGAAGCAAGACCGCGAGGUGGAGCAAAACUCAAAAACAACGUCUCAGUUCAGAUUGCAGGCUGCAACUCGCCUGCAUGAAGUCGGAAUUGCUAGUAAUCGCGGAUCAGCAUGCCGCGGUGAAUACGUUCCCG
rnacentral:rRNA from 1 species